UACAGAGGUCCCGAGCGUUGUUCGGAUUUAUUGGGCGUAAAGGGUGCGUAGGUGGCAAAGUAAGUUGGAUGUGAAAUCCUGGGGCUUAACCUCAGAAUUGCAUUCAAUACUGCUUAGCUAGAGAGCUGUAGAGGAGACUGGAAUUUACGGUGUAGCAGUGAAAUGCGUAGAUAUCGUAAGGAACGCCAGUGGCGAAAGCAGCUUUCUGGGACGGUACUGACGCUGAGACGCGAAAGCGUGGGGAGCGAACAGG
rnacentral:rRNA from 1 species